CAAUAGCGUAUAUUAAAGUUGUUGCAGUUAAAAAGCUCGUAGUUGGAUUUCUGGUGGGAGCGAUCGGUCUGGCGCUUAGCGCGAGUACUUGCAUCGUCUCCGGCCAUCCUUGGGGAGAGUCUGUCUGGCAUUAGGUUGUCGGGCAGAGGAUCCUCAUCGUUUACUGUGAAAAAAUUAGAGUGUUCAAAGCAGGCUUAUGCCGUUGAAUAUGUUAGCAUGGAAUAAUAGGAUAGGACUUUGGUACUAUUUUGUUGGUUUGCGCACCAAAGUAAUGAUUAAUAGGGACAGUUGGGGGUAUUCGUAUUCCGUUGUCAGAGGUGAAAUUCUUGGAUUUACGGAAGACGAACUACUGCGAAAGCAUUUACCAAGGAUGUUUUCAUUAA
rnacentral:rRNA from 1 species